rnacentral:rRNA from 1 species
CAGGAUGAACGCUAGCUACAGGCUUAACACAUGCAAGUCGAGGGGCAGCAUGGUCUUAGCUUGCUAAGGCCGAUGGCGACCGGCGCACGGGUGAGUAACACGUAUCCAACCUGCCGUCUACUCUUGGACAGCCUUCUGAAAGGAAGAUUAAUACAAGAUGGCAUCAUGAGUCCACAUGUUCACAUGAUUAAAGGUAUUCCGGUAGACGAUGGGGAUGCGUUCCAUUAGAUAUAGGCGGGGUAACGGCCCACCUAGUCUUCGAUGGAUAGGGGUUCUGAGAGGAAGGUCCCCCACAUUGGAACUGAGACACGGUCCAAACUCCUACGGGAGGCAGCAGUGAGGAAUAUUGGUCAAUGGGCGAGAGCCUGAACCAGCCAAGUAGCGUGAAGGAUGACUGCCCUAUGGGUUGUAAACUUCUUUUAUAAAGGAAUAAAGUCGGGUAUGCAUACCCGUUUGCAUGUACUUUAUGAAUAAGGAUCGGCUAACUCCGUGCCAGCAGCCGCGGUAAUACGGAGGAUCCGAGCGUUAUCCGGAUUUAUUGGGUUUAAAGGGAGCGUAGAUGGAUGUUUAAGUCAGUUGUGAAAGUUUGCGGCUCAACCGUAAAAUUGCAGUUGAUACUGGAUAUCUUGAGUGCAGUUGAGGCAGGCGGAAUUCGUGGUGUAGCGGUGAAAUGCUUAGAUAUCACGAAGAACUCCGAUUGCGAAGGCAGCCUGCUAAGCUGCAACUGACAUUGAGGCUCGAAAGUGUGGGUAUCAAACAGGAUCAGAUACCCUGGUAGUCCACACGGUAAACGAUGAAUACUCGCUGUUUGCGAUAUACAGCAAGCGGCCAAGCGAAAGCGUUAAGUAUUC